GUCCCCGUAGCUCAGCUGGAUAGAGCGACUGCCUCCUAAGCCGUAGGUCGCAGGUUCGAAUCCUGCCGGGGACGCCA
rnacentral:tRNA from 1 species